GCAAUAGCUAAGUGGUAGAGCUCCCGCUUCACGUGCGGAGAGACCCGGGUUCGAUUCCCGGCUGC
rnacentral:tRNA from 1 species